rnacentral:lncRNA from 1 species
UUUGUAGAACAAGUUUGUAAAACAAGUUUGAAGAACUGGUUGGAUAGUAUCUAUAUAUAAGUCUUUAGUGAGUACUGCACGAGCAUUUCAUAGGCGGGAAUACGGGUGGGGUAUAUAAGUCCGAUACUUGGAUAAUUUGUAUCGAGGUUCUCACAGUAACUUCAAAGUAACAACACGUUCUGCAUAGUAUGUCCGACACAGGUUCUGAACAAGAC